rnacentral:tmRNA from 1 species
GGGGGUGUUUUGGAUUCGACAGGCGCUUCGGAGCGGAUAAAAAGCAUACCGCAGGUUACGUCUUGCGUCAACAACGUAAAAUUAAAUUUAAACGCAAAAAAUGAAAAAGUAGCAAAAGCUCCGGCUUUUGCACUUGCCGCUUAAUUAGAAUUUAAGCUGUCGCCUUAUCCCCUCCGGCGGAGAUAAGUCCGGCAUCAGAUAAGUCCGGGUACUUUUCUGUAAAAAGGAUGUAUUACAGAAAGGACUGCUCAUCCUUCGGUCCGCGCCGCUCUGCCGACCGUACUCGCGGAUAACCCAAAAAACAAAUCGGCUAAGUAUGUAGAAAGUAUCCGAGCCACGCGUCUGAACAGGGGUUCGAUUCCCCUCACCUCCACCA